GUGGGGAAUAUUGGACAAUGGGCGCAAGCCUGAUCCAGCCAUGCCGCGUGAGUGAUGAAGGCCUUAGGGUUGUAAAGCUCUUUCGUCAGGGAAGAUAAUGACGGUACCUGAAGAAGAAGCCCCGGCUAACUUCGUGCCAGCAGCCGCGGUAAUACGAAGGGGGCUAGCGUUGCUCGGAAUCACUGGGCGUAAAGCGCACGUAGGCGGAUUGGUCAGUUAGAGGUGAAAUCCUGGAGCUCAACUCCAGAACUGCCUUUAAUACUGCCAGUCUAGAGUCCAGAAGAGGUGAGUGGAACUCCUAGUGUAGAGGUGGAAUUCGUAGAUAUUAGGAAGAACACCAGUGGCGAAGGCGGCUCACUGGUCUGGUACUGACGCUGAGGUGCGAAAGCGUGGGGAGCAAACAGGAUUAGAUACCCUAGUAGUCC
rnacentral:rRNA from 1 species